GGAUGUAGUCUGCAACUCGACUACAUGAAGCUGGAAUCGCUAGUAAUCGCAGAUCAGAAUGCUGCGGUGAAUACGUUCCCGGGUCUUGUACACACCGCCCGUCACACCAUGGGAGUCGGGAAUGCCCGAAGUCAGUGACCCAACCGCAAGGAGGGAGCUGCCGAAGGCAGGCUCGAUAACUGGGGUGAAGUCGUAACAAGGUACC
rnacentral:rRNA from 1 species